AAUCAUUGGUUCCCUAUAUAAACCCUGUCUGGGUAAGAGGUCUCUCAUUUCCAGAUUGACAUUCAAUAGAGCCACACUGUAGAGGUUUUUCUGUAUACAUUGUAUUUAUUGUCUGGAUAUACUGGAAUUCUUUUGUUUAUUCACAAAUUGAGGUGUCGAUUUCGAAUGAAGUUAUGUGGUAAAUAUCUGUGCCAGGAUUUUAUCCACGUCUGUUAUAUUCCCAUAUAAGGUCUAUCAAGACACACCCCUGAUGAAGUCUCCAAGGAGACAAAACGCGUCGGGCAUUUGUCUGCGAUGUUUACUGUGACCCCGAAGGGGAAGAAAAAUGACUGUACUAACAACACUUCAAGAAAAACUUUUUAAUAAACGUAUUGGACUUUUAACUGUGUGUUCUUAUUAACUUAUAAAGACCAAGAUGAGGACAACUGAGACUGUGACCUCUGGCAAGGGCGCCAGACCACUAUUGUUUAUUUAUAUAUAUAUAUAUUUAUAUUCCUGAUGAGGGUUGAAAUAAACCAAAAUGUAGAAAGAAACUCAAGACAGGGUUACUCUCUGCUCUUUGUCUGCAUGAAGUCUACGAGUGCCUUCAACUU